AAUCGUCCAAACAAAAUACUUUUUCGUUUCGGAUCACCGGAAUUUCGCGGCAAGGUAGACCAACGAUUGUGCGCCACCUGCAAUCAGCUUGACAACUGUGGUCCCCCAUUGGGUUCAAACGGAUUGACGCUUUGUGGGACUUUUGCUGUUGCAACGCCAUCUCGAUUGUACUCUAUUUUAUGGACACUUACUUGACACGGAGAUAGUCCUCCUUACCUUUAUGCUUCAUAAGUCAAUAGUUCGAAUUGCGAGGGAAUCGUUCGAAUUCGAUGAGUUUGCCCUGACAGAGGCCCUGCAGCAAGUGACGCGGGAGUAUCAUCGUGAGAAAUUCUGGGAAAACGCAAUAAGAGACGAUCCAUUGGCAGAACUAUCAAAUUCUCAGGAAGCAGCAUCGGAGUUUGGGUAUCAAGUAUAAAAUUCGGUGUCAACGAAGCCGCGAAAGAUUUGAAUUUCAAUGACAAGUGCGAUUCAAGGUUUGCUUCGGAACUGUUACGUUAUACACAAUUAACAUGUUUCAUUUGCUCAUAUGUAUUAAAUUGAAUAAAUUCCAUUUCAGUCGUCAACAUGAGCAGCAAAGUAGAGUUGUCUGA
rnacentral:misc_RNA from 1 species